rnacentral:rRNA from 1 species
GUCUAUGACCAUACAACCCUGAACCCACCCAAUCUCUUCUGAUCUCCGAAGCCAAGAAAGGUUGGGCCUGGCUAGUACUUGGAUGGGAGAAAAAUGCCUGGGAAAGCUUCACCAGAGAGU